rnacentral:rRNA from 1 species
UACGGAGGGUGCAAGCGUUACUCGGAAUCACUGGGCGUAAAGCGCGCGCAGGCGGCCUUUUAAGUUGGAUGUGAAAGCCUACGGCUUAACCGUAGAACUGCAUCCAAAACUAUUAGGAUAGAGUCUGGGAGGGGAAGAUGGAAUUAGUUGUGUAGGGGUAAAAUCCGUAGAGAUAACUAGGAAUACCAAAAGCGAAGGCGAUCUUCUGGAACAGUACUGACGCUGAGGCGCGAAAGCGUGGGGAGCAAACAGGAUUAGAUACCCUGGUAGUCCACGCCCUAAACGAUGAAUGUUAGUCGUUGGAGUCCUAGUGACUUCAGUGAUGCAGCUAACGCAUUAAACAUUCCGCCUGGGGAGUACGGUCGCAAGAUUAAAACUCAAAGGAAUAGACGGGGACCCGCACAAGUGGUGGAGCAUGUGGUUUAAUUCGAAGAUACGCGAAGAACCUUACCUGGCCUUGACAUUGAUGGAACCCGCUAGAGAUAGUGGGGUGCCCUUCGGGGAGCCUGAAAACAGGUGCUGCACGGCUGUCGUCAGCUCGUGUCGUGAGAUGUUGGGUUAAGUCCCGCAACGAGCGCAACCCUCGUCACUAGUUACUAACGGUUCGGCCGAGGACUCUAGUGAGACUGCCUUCGCAAGGAGGAGGAAGGUGAGGACGACGUCAAGUCAUCAUGGCCCUUACGGCCAGGGCAACACACGUGCUACAAUGGGUAGGACAAUGAGACGCGAUACCGCGAGGUGGAGCAAAUCUAUAAACCUAUUCUCAGUUCGGAUUGUAGUCUGCAACUCGACUACAUGAAGCUGGAAUCACUAGUAAUCGUAGAUCAGCUAUGCUACGGUGAAUACGUUCCCGGGUCUUGUACUCACCGCCCGUC